CUUGGCGCCAUUUUGAAGCGGAGAGGAGGAGGAACGGCGGGGCUGGCUGCGGAAGGGGAGGGGGGGAGGAGGCGAUUGGAUGCGGCGGCGGCGGCGGAUCCCGGAGAGCAGCGGAGUGAGAGGAGUAACGAGUCGGGCACCCGGAGGGGUAAAAAUAUUUCCAUCAUGGCUCAUUCAAAGACAAGGACCAAUGAUGGAAAAAUUACCUAUCCUCCUGGUGUCAAAGAAAUCUCAGAUAAAAUAUCUAAAGAGGAGAUGGUUAGACGGUUAAAGAUGGUUGUGAAAACUUUCAUGGAUAUGGACCAGGACUCUGAAGAAGAAAAGGAGCUUUAUUUAAACCUAGCUUUACAUCUUGCUUCAGAUUUUUUCCUCAAGCAUCCUGAUAAAGAUGUUCGCUUACUGGUAGCUUGCUGCCUUGCUGAUAUUUUCAGGAUUUAUGCUCCUGAGGCUCCUUACACAUCCCCUGAUAAACUAAAGGAUAUAUUUAUGUUUAUAACAAGGCAGUUGAAGGGACUAGAAGAUACAAAGAGCCCACAAUUCAAUAGGUAUUUUUAUUUACUUGAGAACAUUGCUUGGGUCAAGUCAUAUAACAUAUGCUUUGAGUUGGAAGAUAGCAAUGAAAUUUUUACCCAGUUAUACAGAACAUUAUUUUCAGUUAUAAAUAAUGGCCACAAUCAGAAAGUUCAUAUGCACAUGGUGGACCUCAUGAGUUCUAUUAUUUGUGAAGGGGAUACAGUAUCUCAGGAGCUUUUGGAUACAGUUUUGGUAAAUCUGGUACCUGCCCAUAAGAAUUUAAAUAAGCAAGCAUAUGAUUUGGCAAAGGCUUUACUGAAGAGGACAGCUCAAGCUAUUGAACCAUAUAUUACCAAUUUUUUUAAUCAGGUUCUGAUGCUUGGGAAAACAUCUAUCAGCGAUUUGUCAGAGCAUGUCUUUGACUUAAUUUUGGAGCUCUAUAAUAUUGAUAGUCAUUUGCUGCUCUCAGUUUUACCCCAGCUUGAAUUUAAAUUGAAGAGCAAUGAUAAUGAGGAACGCCUUCAAGUUGUUAAACUACUGGCAAAAAUGUUUGGGGCAAAGGAUUCAGAACUGGCUUCUCAAAACAAACCACUUUGGCAGUGUUACUUGGGCAGGUUUAAUGAUAUCCAUGUUCCAAUCCGCCUGGAAUGUGUGAAAUUUGCUAGCCAUUGUCUCAUGAACCAUCCUGAUUUAGCAAAGGACUUAACAGAGUAUCUUAAAGUGAGGUCACAUGACCCUGAGGAAGCUAUUAGACAUGAUGUUAUUGUGUCUAUAGUUACAGCAGCUAAAAAGGAUAUUCUUCUGGUCAAUGACCACUUACUUAAUUUUGUGAGAGAGAGAACAUUAGACAAACGGUGGAGAGUACGCAAAGAAGCCAUGAUGGGACUUGCUCAGAUUUAUAAGAAAUAUGCUUUACAAUCAGCAGCUGGGAAGGAUGCUGCCAAACAGAUUUCAUGGAUCAAAGACAAAUUGCUACAUAUAUAUUAUCAAAAUAGUAUUGAUGAUAGAUUACUUGUUGAACGGAUAUUUGCUCAAUAUAUGGUUCCCCACAAUUUGGAAACUACAGAACGGAUGAAAUGCCUGUAUUAUUUGUAUGCCACACUGGAUUUAAAUGCUGUGAAAGCAUUGAAUGAAAUGUGGAAAUGUCAGAAUUUGCUUCGACAUCAAGUAAAGGAUUUGCUUGACUUAAUUAAGCAACCCAAAACGGAUGCCAGUGUCAAGGCCAUAUUUUCAAAAGUGAUGGUCAUUACAAGAAAUUUGCCAGAUCCUGGUAAGGCUCAGGAUUUCAUGAAGAAAUUCACCCAGGUGUUAGAAGAUGACGAGAAAAUAAGAAAACAGUUAGAAGUACUUGUUAGUCCAACAUGCUCCUGCAAGCAGGCUGAAGGUUGUGUGCGUGAAAUAACUAAGAAGUUGGGCAACCCCAAACAGCCUACAAAUCCUUUUCUGGAAAUGAUCAAGUUUCUCUUGGAGAGGAUAGCACCUGUGCACAUAGAUACUGAAUCUAUCAGUGCCCUUAUAAAGCAAGUGAACAAAUCAAUAGAUGGAACAGCAGAUGAUGAAGAUGAGGGGGUUCCAACUGAUCAAGCCAUCAGGGCCGGUCUUGAACUGCUUAAGGUACUCUCAUUUACACACCCCAUCUCAUUUCAUUCUGCUGAAACAUUUGAGUCUCUCCUGGCUUGUCUGAAAAUGGAUGAUGAAAAAGUAGCAGAAGCUGCACUUCAGAUUUUCAAAAAUACGGGAAGCAAAAUUGAAGAGGAUUUCCCACACAUCAGAUCAGCUUUGCUUCCUGUCUUACAUCACAAAUCUAAAAAAGGACCCCCCCGUCAAGCCAAAUAUGCUAUUCAUUGUAUCCAUGCGAUAUUUUCUAGUAAAGAGACCCAGUUUGCACAGAUAUUUGAGCCUCUGCAUAAGAGCCUAGAUCCAAGCAACCUGGAACAUCUCAUAACACCGCUGGUUACUAUUGGUCAUAUUGCUCUCCUUGCACCGGAUCAGUUUGCUGCUCCUUUGAAGUCCUUGGUAGCUACUUUCAUUGUGAAAGAUCUUCUCAUGAAUGAUCGGCUUCCAGGAAAAAAGACAACUAAGCUUUGGGUUCCAGAUGAAGAAGUUUCACCUGAGACAAUGGUCAAAAUUCAGGCUAUUAAAAUGAUGGUUCGGUGGCUACUUGGAAUGAAAAAUAAUCACAGUAAAUCAGGAACUUCUACUUUAAGAUUACUUACGACAAUACUGCAUAGUGAUGGAGACCUGACAGAGCAGGGGAAAAUCAGUAAACCGGAUAUGUCACGUCUGAGACUUGCUGCUGGAAGUGCUAUUGUGAAGCUAGCACAAGAACCCUGUUAUCAUGAAAUUAUCACGUUAGAACAGUAUCAGCUGUGUGCUUUAGCGAUCAAUGAUGAAUGCUACCAAGUAAGACAAGUAUUUGCUCAGAAACUUCACAAAGGCCUUUCCCGAUUACGGCUUCCGCUUGAGUAUAUGGCCAUUUGUGCACUUUGUGCAAAAGAUCCUGUAAAAGAAAGAAGAGCUCAUGCCAGGCAGUGUCUGGUAAAAAAUAUCAAUGUGAGGCGCGAGUAUUUGAAGCAGCAUGCAGCUGUUAGUGAAAAAUUAUUGUCUCUUCUACCCGAGUAUGUUGUUCCAUAUACAAUUCACCUUUUGGCACAUGACCCAGAUUAUGUCAAAGUACAGGAUAUUGAACAACUUAAAGAUGUUAAAGAAUGUCUUUGGUUUGUUCUGGAAAUAUUAAUGGCUAAAAAUGAAAAUAACAGUCAUGCAUUUAUCAGAAAGAUGGUAGAAAAUAUUAAACAAACAAAAGAUGCUCAAGGACCAGAUGAUGCAAAAAUGAAUGAAGUUGUGGGAAGAUCAGGAAGGAUCAGUAUCAAGAGUUGGCCCACUCCUAAUGUCAUGGAAAGGUCGCGGUGAAUCUUAACAGUGUGGUUCAAGACCAGCAUAGGGGCCAAACUGGAGGACACAGAUAAGCUUCAGAGUUGAAUUGGGAUGCUCUAGAGUUUGUGUUGCAAGUUUUAUGUCAGUCUAAGAGCACAGGCAAAAGUGUGAUUAAAGCCUGUAAAUAUUGGUUAGUGGCCAUUGAUCUAAAAAGGGAAGGAGAAUGCUGGUGUGAUUUGAAGUUAAUAGGUUCUUGAUGGAGAUUUGUAACUGGUAGGAGGAAGCAAGCAGAGAACUAGUGCUGGAACAGUCGCAAGACCCUGGAAACACUUCAGGAAUGUUCCCAAACCACUCUUGGAAAACUCAAGUAUUGUAUGAUACCAAAAAAUGUCUUUUAGAAUAGAGAUUCAUAGUGCAUCUAAGCCUAUUAAGGGACUGAGAGUAACGAAACAGUCACUACUUACCAGUGCUUACAAAUCGGAAUGGGCCAGUUAGGUUCACCCAAUAAAAGAGACUGUCUGCUUCUGAGCAUUCACCUUUCUGUGAUGAAGGUAACAGGAGUAUAUGUGUCCUGUUCCCUGGAGAGCAUUAUUAUAGAAGCAUUUGUUUGCUGAUAUAUUCUUGGAACUCUAGUGUGUUAGAGCUCAGAUGUGUUGUAUUUAUACUAGAGUUAGUAUGAGGUUAGUUCACACUUAUUAUAGCAUUUAAAAUCACCGACUGAAAUUUUGUGUUGCAACUGAUUUUUUAGUUUAAAUAAAUAUGUAUUUUAUAACAUACUUUAAAACAAAAGCUGCUCUGUGCUUUGUUAGCUUGAAUCACCUGAUAGAGACAGUGUUUCAGUAUUCCUUGACUAUGUCUUUUUUCCCUUGCUCGUAGAACUUCAGUAACACCAAAAAUUAUCUGCCUCCAGAAAUGAAAUCGUUUUUUACUCCUGGAAAACCUAAAACAACCAAUGUUCUAGGAGCUGUUAAUAAGCCGCUUUCAUCAGCAGGCAAACAAUCUCAGACAAAAUCAUCACGAAUGGAAACUGUAAGCAAUGCAAGCAGCAGCUCAAAUCCAAGCUCUCCUGGAAGAAUAAAAGGGAGGCUUGAUAGUUCUGAGAUGGAUCACAGUGAAAAUGAAGAUUACACAAUGUCUUCACCUUUGCCGGGAAAAAAAAGUGACAAGAGAGACGACUCUGAUCUUGUAAGGUCUGAAUUGGACAAACCUAGAAGCCGGAAGAAAACACCUGUAACAGACUCAGAAGAGAAAUUAGGCAUGGAUGACCUAACUAAGUUGGUACAGGAACAGAAACCUAAAGGCAGUCAACGUGGACGGAAGAGGGGCCAUACGGCUUCAGAAUCAGAGGAACAGCAGUGGUCCGAGGAAAAGAGGCUCAAAGAAGAUAUUUUAGAAAAUGAGGAUGAGCAGAAUAGUCCACCAAAAAAAGGUAAAAGAGGCCGACCACCAAAACCUCUUGGUGGAGGUACCCCCAAAGAAGAGCCAACAAUGAAAACGUCUAAAAAAGGAAGCAAAAAAAAAUCUGGACCUUCAGCAGCAGAAGAAGAGGAAGAAGAAGAAAGACAAAGUGGAAACACAGAACAGAAGUCCAAAAGUAAACAGCACCGAACUUCAAGGAGAGCACAGCAGAGAGCAGAGUCUCCUGAAACUAGUGCAGUUGAAUCCACACAAUCCACACCACAGAAAGGACGAGGAAGACCAUCAAAAACGCCAUCACCAUCACAACCCAAAAAAAAUGUCCGUUUGGGACGUUCCAAACAAGCAGCUACUAAAGAAAAUGACUCAAGCGAAGAAGUAGAUGUGUUUCAGGGUAGCUCCCCUGUCAAUGAUGAUAAUCCACAGGAAGAAACAGAAGAGGAGGAAGUUUCUACAGUAAAUGUGCGGCGGCGGAGUUCUAAAAGAGAAAGGCGAUGAACAAAUGUCAUUAGGAACUUUCUAUGUGAAAGCUUUGAAAAAAGUUUGUUUGUCAAGCUUCAGGCUGAGUAGAGCCUUUGAUGCACACAAUGGGACUGCUGAAGAAUGGACAGCUGGACUUACUCUGAUGACCUCACGUUCUUGUGGUCACAGGCGUCAGCCAUAUGCAUGCUGAUGGCAGUGACUACGGCGUCUUGGGAAAAGGUGUGAUGUGCGAUGGCUGUGUAGACAUACUAAAGAAGAAACUUGUAAAUAUAUUUUUUCUCCCCCCCCCCUUUUUUUUUAAAUGUUUCUGACUUCUAAAGUGCUUGUAUAGCUUUUAUCUGCGGCUUUAAACUGACAGCACCCAACUGUUUAUUGGAUCUAUUGAUUUGAAAGAGUUUGUUAGUAUAGAUCUUAAGCAGUAAUCUGUCAGUGUUUGUAUUUGUAUUCUCUGCAAUUUUACUGUGAAAAAUUAUUUUUCAACAAACAGUGUCAGUUUCUUGAUGUCACUAUUUGUUGGAGAGUCAAAAUGAUCUCUUUCCCUUGUGUAUCUCACCUAGUGUUUACUCCUGGGCACCCUUAAUCUUCAGAGGUGCUAAAUUGUCUGCCAUUACACCUGAGCAAUGCCUCUGAUGGGAAGAUACCACACAAAUUGUGAAAUAGUCCUGACGUUGUUUGAUUAUUUUACACCUCAGUAUUGAUCCCAGAAUUUUCUGGCCUUUCAUGGCAAUGAAAAUUUUAAAAAGAGAGAGAUUUAAAAUAUUUUAAUUUUAAAGAGUGUGUUUUAAAAUAAUGUACUGAAUUCUUUAUGCCAUUUUAUCAUCCCUUUUCAGUUUUUAUUAAUCUACUGUAUCAAUAAAAUUCUGUAAUUUGAAUUAGUUUUUAAUAGUCUAGAAUGUUAUUGUGUAUAGAUAUUUCCUCUUGAACAUUAUGUUCAGAAAAUGCAAAUUAUUACACUAUAAUAUAAAAUCUGAUAUAUACACAUUAGAAAAGUUUCAGUUCUCCAUAGCAGUGUAAAGUUAAUGAGAAAGAAAAAAAUUUUAUUGAUGCAGUGUGUCUUUAUAAAGCUGUUCUUGAAAGCAAGUGUUUUGUAUUUUAUAGUGAGUUGCAUGUUUAUGAAACAAAGUGCUGAAAAUGGGAUGUGCUCUUCUCUGUAAAUUCAUAUUUAGCCAUAGUAUAUGAUAGAUUGCCCCAUAACAUAGUUUUUCAUCAAGAGUUUAUUAUUGUACUUUAUUUUGGAGCCAAAAAUUGUUUUUUUUGUGGGGGGUGGGAGGCAGGGUGGGAGUCAUAUAUCCAGCUAUAUGAGCUACUGUAGGUAUCACAGUCUUAUGAGCUUCGAAUGAAAUUCCACUUUGUCCAGAUUGGGAGAAGUGGAAAUUUAUUUUGGUUUAGAGCAUAUCUUUUUUUCUUUGUUGUAAUCUACAAAAUAUAGAAACAAAGGCAGUAUCCUUUCUACAGUUUUAUGAACUGUAUUUUCACCAAAACGUAUAGGUUACAACUUAAUGCUUAUCUAAACUGCUUUUAUUGUUUCAGGUGCUUUUCUUUCAUUUUUUUCAUGGUGACCAUCAGAAAACAAAAUCAUAUUCUAACUUAUUAAAUUUACCACAGUGAAUAAUGGAGCAUUUUCAUAUAAUAUGCCAUUAUGUUUAAGGUAUUAUUUCCAAGAUUGGUUAUAACAGAUGGGGGAUAUAAUAAAGAAACUACUAUUUUGGAAAAUGACAUUUUACUAUUUUCCAAUGUAUAUCACAAUUGAUGUGAUUAUUUUUCUUUUAAAGAUUUCUUCAUGUUUAUGAAAUGACCUUUUAUUUUUAAAAAAAAAGUUUUGAAUUGUGUCUUAAUCUCUCAAUAUUUAGCUAUUUUUCAUUUACAACAGUACCGACACCAGUGAUGAUAGGAGGCUGCUGUAUAUCAAGGCAGCUAAUGUUGGACCAAGAUGCAAUUGGUUUUUAAAUGUUUCGUUAGCUCAGUUCUCCCAGACACGCUAUUUCUAUUUCAGCAGUACAAAGGCAUGUUUUUAAAUCUAUAAAAUAAAGAAUAAGGGAUAGCUUUGUAUUUUUGUCAUUAACUAAAUUGCACCAGAAAUGUUUAUGGAAGUAUAUCUUUAAGACCAUUUUAUAAAACAUAAUGAAAAAAUGAUUGUGGAGGAUUUUUAUUUGCAUGAUCAUCGUUAACCAAAUUCCACUGCACAUUAAUUCUGUACAUCAGUUCACAAAGAAUGUUCAUUGUAGAUUUCGUUCAAUGCCAAUGAGUCUGUGAUUUUACAAUUUGUUCACUUUUGGGAAGAUUAUGAUGUAAAUUUUCCAUUUUUCUGUAGAAAAAUAGGUGCAAUAAUGAUCAAAGUUUUGAUGUCCUGAGUCUUCAUCUUAGGGAAUUAUCUUAUUAUUAUGUUUAAGCUUAACAUUUCAUGUACUAACAUUUGGAGGGCCACAUACUCUAAACUAAAGUCAAAUUAAGUAUGUAUAAAACGUUAACUGCUAACAGUGGUUAGCAAACUCUUCAGUGAUAAUGUUCAUUUUGAAAAUAUGUACUGUAUAAAAUUAAGAAACUAUUUAACUCACUGUAACAAGUUCCAUUAUGAAAAUCUUAUGAUUCUUCAGUGAGAUUAUCUUGCUGCACUCUGUAGCAAAUCCAUUUAAUCUACAAUAUAAUAAAAUUUCUUGCUGCAGUGCAACAGGAAGCUUUUUCAGUGAUCUCCACUGUAUAUGUAAAUUACAAAUGUGGCUGUAAAACUUGUUCCAGGUAUUAAAGGUUAAAUUCCUUUCUGUA